AUUUUAAAAUGUAUGUAGUUUAUAUUUGUGUAUAAAAUAAAGUUUGAGUCUGCUACAGUGUUACAGUGUAAAGUGAUAAAAUAGUGGUAUUUGUGAACAGUUGCCCAAAAGAUUAUUCUCUUCGUGGAAAAGGAAGUAGUGCUGACCUCUAAUAGCUUUCUUGAGCGCCUUGGCCGGAGGAAAACGUAGCACGACGGAGCUAAUAACGGUGUCUGCGUUGCCUGCAUGUCUUUUGGGACGCUGUGUCGGAAGCAAGCGCUUUAAUAUUAUAUUUUAAAGAAGCGGUACACAACAACACAUUUGCGUUACUUCGCUUGCAAAUCAAUUAUAAUGUUCUAAUGUAAUAAAAGUUUAAUGCAUCGAUAAAGUGGAAAUUCGCAAUUUUUCCCUGCCACCGUCAGCCCGCCUCGGCGCCGCUCGUCAAGUUUUCGCCUGGAAACAAAAGAAUCUGCAAUACUUACGCUUAAUGUUCGGGGAUAACGAGUAGCAUAAAAAAUGUCGGAUUUCAAGUUGGAGCAGCAAAGAUUUAUUCAUGGACAAGUGAUGAAGUACAUCGGAUGCGGCUGACUGCGAAAUUAUCUACGCGCGUGGAGCGGAUGGGGCAGAUCGCAGUGGUUACGGUAAAUAGUGUAACAGGCGAAGCCGUAUAAUUUCUGAAAGUAACGAGAAGUAAUCAAACUGGCAUGACACUCAUUGGAAAAUAAAGUUAAAAUAACAAAAAUGAAAGCAAGAAUUAUUUACGACGAGCUGAAGUUGGAAGGAGGAGUGGAAUAGACAACAGUAACAAACUCGACUAGAUAACGCCUGAGAGCAAAAAAAGAACAUUGUACUGGAAGGAAACUCAUUGGCAACAAAAGAUAAAGCAACAAAACUUAAAGGAAAAUGUAUUAACGCGCAAUCUGAAGUUAGAAAGAGGGUGGGGGAGGAGCCGUGGUUGAAUUUUCAAGCGUUGAAAAUGUCUUGCCUUGGUUUCAGACAGUUGAAAGUGAAGGCAAGGGUGCUACAGUAGUUCUCCCACGAAUGCGGGUCUAAGUAAACCGAACGAACUGAGAUUUUGAUUCGACCAAGAACUGUUAAGUCGGCAGCAUGCUUCGAAUUACUUCAGCAAAGUUUUCUGAUGUCACACAGCAGCAACUAUUUCUGCUUAUUCAAAGUAUAGAAGGAUACAUAGCAUCGCUUCUACGACAGUCGGCUCUACGUAAUCUGUAGGGACCCGGAUUUUUAUCAUUUUUAUCCAGCCAAUGAUUGUCAUCUCAGCAGCAUGCCCCAAAUCACUUCAGUGCUGCUACAGAUACAAGAUUUUUCUCUAAAGCGCUGCCCUGGUGUACUGCAAACCGAAAUACUUACCAAGAGCGACAUUUUUAGACUUGCUAUUUACUUACUUUUCAACCAUUGUUAACAUAUAAUUGCACUAAAUUCUUAAUAAAAAUAAAAAUAUAUAUUACUGAAAAGU